rnacentral:lncRNA from 1 species
AAAAGGGAGAUCCCUUUAGGAUGCAACGAAGAAAACAUUAACCAAUUUGAUUAAGCCCACCUAAAUUGCCAACUUUUAUUGUUUGUUGUGUCAUAUUAAAUCCGAGUAGGUGUCGAAGCUCUCUCAGGUAGUAGUUUGAAGCAAAGAAAAAUGCAAUGGGGACGGGAGUGGUAGAGUGUGACGCCAGUUAUGUAUGGGAAAUUCCAGCUUGGUGGAGAUUUUUCUGAGGAUUAUUUAGUUUUAGCAUCAAGGAACCAAAAAGUCCUGAAAAAAAUUAUUGAUUAUUACCC